GGAUCAAACAAGACAGUACCAUCUUCAAUGGAAGCUAUCAAGAGAAAGAGUCAGUAAUGGUAGAUUCUUAUUUGCCUGCAGAUUCUGCCUUGGAAAAGAGGUUUGAAGAAGCCCUUGAACAUAGCUGCUGGUCGUAGAGGUGGUUUAAAAGUUGUACUAUUUCUUUCUUUGUUUUUUCAGAUACUGUUUUAUAAUUUUGUUUGGUGUUGGUUGGCCUAAGACCUAAUUUGUGUAAAUAUAACUUGAUUGUUCAUGAAGUAGAAGUUGUUUCCUAAUUCAUACGUAAUCUUUCACAAAGCCCAUAUGAAAGAAUCUAUGAUGAAAUGAUGCAAGCAAUUGCAUUUUCAGUUUGUGUUAGUUGAUAGUAUACUUUGCCUGAAUCCCAUCUCCUAUCCUAUCCUUAACCCUUUGUUUGGAUCCUUUAACUUUGCUUGAACAAUCAAGUUAUAUUUACACAAAUU
rnacentral:misc_RNA from 1 species